UUCCCAUAAUACCCUUUUAGUCUUUUCUCCCCUUCUUCCCACGAUUCCCCCCACCCUCUCUCCAUUUCUUCCUUCGAGCUUCCCCACCACCACCUUCGGGCUUCCCCUGUCUCCGGCGAGCUUCCUUACCUCCACCUUCGAGCUUCCUCUGUCUCUCACGCCAGUAAUUACUCGGCAACCGCUCAAGUUUUUAGCGAUGAUGUAGGCUCCAUCGAAUGCGACGCAAUUCUUCCCCCACGACAAAGCCAUACUCCCGAUUGUUCCAUUGACAAACUUCGGCCCCUAUAUUGAAGCAGACUGCCGUUUCUUUUUCUUCCCCAACGACAGAGUCGACUUCCAAUUUUGAAGUCAUUUUGGAAGCUUGCUUCCUUGUAGUGAGAUAUGUCUCCCAAAUCUUCCAUGAAGAAAGAUAAGAAAUCAUUAUCAAUUGUUCAUACAAAAACAAAUGAUAUGUUUCAUAAUUUAAGUGAAGAUAAAUUAGCUUUUGUCCAUUCUAACAUUCGAGCUCAAUGUUAUUGGAGUGAUAUUGGGUGCAUACACAAUUUUCUUUGUAAUGAAUAACUCCAAAAGUUGAAACAAUGCUGCUUUGGUUUUCUUUUGGAUUUGGACGCAUCACUUGAACCUUCAUAUAUGAUCAUGCAUGUAACGCUCCGCAUUUUGGGCACCGGGUAGAAUUUUGGUUGUAGGAAGUUUAAUUCUCGAGAAAUCUUAUAUUUCCAAGUAUGUGAAUACUUGUAAGGGAUAUUGUAUGUUUUGUAUGAAUGUUAUGUUAUUAAGUAUUAGUCAUUAUAUGAUAAGAUUGGUUUUCCGAUUAAACCAAGACCUUCAGUCUCGGACCGGGUCAAAAAGCCUUAACGAGUAAAAAUCUUGGAUAAAAUAUUAUGUGAGAAAAAAAUUAUGGCAA